rnacentral:rRNA from 1 species
UACGGGGGGAGCAAGCGUUGUUCGGAUUUACUGGGCGUAAAGGGCGCGUAGGCGGUCAGCACAGGUCAGUUGUGAAAUCUCCGGGCUUAACUCGGAAAGGUCAACUGAUACUGUGCGACUAGAGUGCAGAAGGGGCGACUGGAAUUCUCGGUGUAGCGGUGAAAUGCGUAGAUAUCGAGAGGAACACCUGCGGCGAAGGCGGGUUGCUGGGCUGACACUGACGCUGAUGCGCGAAAGCCAGGGGAGCGAACGGG